rnacentral:rRNA from 1 species
GCGAACGGGUGAGUAACACGUGAGCAACCUGCCCUAGGCUUUGGGAUAACCCCGGGAAACCGGGGCUAAUACCGAAUAGGACCUGACACCGCAUGGUGUUUGGUGGAAAGUUUUUCGGCCUGGGAUGGGCUCGCGGCCUAUCAGCUUGUUGGUGGGGUGAUGGCCUACCAAGGCGACGACGGGUAGCCGGCCUGAGAGGGCGACCGGCCACACUGGGACUGAGACACGGCCCAGACUCCUACGGGAGGCAGCAGUGGGGAAUAUUGCACAAUGGGCGGAAGCCUGAUGCAGCGACGCCGCGUGAGGGAUGACGGCCUUCGGGUUGUAAACCUCUUUCAGCAGGGACGAAGCGUAAGUGACGGUACCUGCAGAAGAAGCGCCGGCCAACUACGUGCCAGCAGCCGCGGUAAGACGUAGGGCGCGAGCGUUGUCCGGAUUUAUUGGGCGUAAAGAGCUCGUAGGCGGCUUGUCGCGUCGACUGUGAAAACCCGCAGCUCAACUGCGGGCCUGCAGUCGAUACGGGCAGGCUAGAGUUCGGUAGGGGAGACUGGAAUUCCUGGUGUAGCGGUGAAAUGCGCAGAUAUCAGGAGGAACACCGGUGGCGAAGGCGGGUCUCUGGGCCGAUACUGACGCUGAGGAGCGAAAGCGUGGGGAGCGAACAGGAUUAGAUACCCUGGUAG